CGACAUUUUUGUCUUGAAUACUUAUUUUCGUCGCUCUAGGAUUGUAUAUAUCAAGAAACCCACCAGCGGCAGUGGCGUGCCCGCGCAUUUUCAUGAUCCCCUUCAUACAUUUUUAGAUCAAAAUUUGGUUUCUAUCAACAUUGAAGUAAUUCUUGUUGCAGCGGAUGAGAGCAGAUGGCGCGAUUCUAUUAUCAAUGUUAUUGUUCGACUAAUUGAUGAUAAAGCAUGUCUGCUUCUUGUUUAAUGGCAUUGCGGAUUUGUUAGAUGGAUGAGUUCGGCCACGUUUGUUGAUAGCGCCACUUCGACGAGUAGUUGUGCGCUUUAGAUGAUGUGAAAUUGUGUGAGUUGUUCGAUGAGAAAGUUGACGGAGAUUGGUUGUGACCGAAAACCAGUAUUAUAAAGGUCAGAUUUUAAUUCAGUUCAUGAGUUCUUGUUUCUAUUACUCGUUGAUGUAAUCAAUUCAUUUUCAUCGAGUCCAUGCUUUUCUCUGUUCCGAAAAUAGGGAUGUUGUGUUCCAAAAUCUUGACUGUGAUUGUGUUCAAAAAAAGUCGGAAUGUUGAUAAUGGUUUCUCAGUUGGUCAAAAAAUUAUGUAUGAUCGACUGGCUUUCUUCCUUC